rnacentral:rRNA from 1 species
AUCUAUGGCCAUGACACCCUGAACAAACCCGACUCCAUCUAAUCUUGGAAGCUAAGUAGGAUUGGGCAUGGUUAGUACUUGGAUGGAAGACCACAUAGGAGGACCAGGUGCUGUAGGCA